CCUACGGGGGGCAGCAGUGAGGAAUAUUGGUCAAUGGACGAGAGUCUGAACCAGCCAAGUAGCGUGAAGGAUGACUGCCCUAUGGGUUGUAAACUUCUUUUAUAUGGGAAUAAAAUGUUCCACGUGUGGGAUUUUGUAUGUACCAUAUGAAUAAGGAUCGGCUAACUCCGUGCCAGCAGCCGCGGUAAUACGGAGGAUCCGAGCGUUAUCCGGAUUUAUUGGGGUUAAAGGGAGCGUAGGUGGAUUGUUAAGUCAGUUGUGAAAGUUUGCGGCUCAACCGUGAAAUUGCAGUUGAAACUGGCAGUCUUGAGUACAGUAGAGGUGGGCGGAAUUCGUGGUGUAGCGGUGAAAUGCUUAGAUAUCACGAAGAACUCCGAUUGCGAAGGCAGUUCACUGGACUGCAACUGACACUGAGGCUCGAAAGUGUGGGUAUCAAACAGGAUUAGAUACCCGAGUAGUC
rnacentral:rRNA from 1 species